AGUCGACGAUGAUGGGAGCUUGCUCCUGGAUUAGUGGCGAACGGGUGAGUAACACGUGAGUAACCUGCCCUUAACUCUGGGAUAAGCCUGGGAAACUGGGUCUAAUACCGGAUAUGACUCCUCAUCGCAUGGUGGGGGGUGGAAAGCUUUUUGUGGUUUUGGAUGGACUCGCGGCCUAUCAGCUUGUUGGUGAGGUAAUGGCUUACCAAGGCGACGACGGGUAGCCGGCCUGAGAGGGUGACCGGCCACACUGGGACUGAGACACGGCCCAGACUCCUACGGGAGGCAGCAGUGGGGAAUAUUGCACAAUGGGCGGAAGCCUGAUGCAGCGACGCCGCGUGAGGGAUGACGGCCUUCGGGUUGUAAACCUCUUUCAGUAGGGAAGAAGCGAAAGUGACGGUACCUGCAGAAGAAGCGCCGGCUAACUACGUGCCAGCAGCCGCGGUAAUACGUAGGGCGCAAGCGUUAUCCGGAAUUAUUGGGCGUAAAGAGCUCGUAGGCGGUUUGUCGCGUCU
rnacentral:rRNA from 1 species